GGAGCUGAUUCAGGUCCUUGAACCCUCAUAUGUUUUGCCGACGAGAAAGAUCAUCAAGAAAAUGGUGGCCGAAAAAUAUAAGGAGGAACGGGAAAAAGUGAAAAUGGAAGUACAGCAAGCUGUGGCAAUUCAAAUCACUUGGAUUCCGCAGUUCCUCCAGGUGCACGGAGGCCGUAUCCAGACUGCGGGCUGAGUGCAUGCGUGUCAUCGGGUGCACAUUCGAGGCCCAGCCUGGACCAUCAUCGCAGCCCUCUGCAACUACAUCAGGCAUGUUACUCAUCAUUAUUAG